rnacentral:tRNA from 1 species
GCAUUGGUGGUUCAGUGGUAGAAUUCUCACUUUCCAUGAAGCAGAUCUGGGUUCGAUUCCCAGCCAAUGCA